rnacentral:rRNA from 1 species
AUUGAACGCUGGCGGCAUGCUUUACACAUGCAAGUCGAACGGUAACAGGCCGCAAGGUGCUGACGAGUGGCGAACGGGUGGGUAAUGCAUCGGAACGUGCCCAGUCGUGGGGGAUAACGCAGCGAAAGCUGCGCUAAUACCGCAUACGAUCUCUGGAUGAAAGCGGGGGACCGAAAGGCCUCGCGCGAUUGGAGCGGCCGAUGUCAGAUUAGGUAGUUGGUGGGGUAAAGGCCCACCAAGCCAACGAUCUGUAGCUGGUCUGAGAGGACGACCAGCCACACUGGGACUGAGACACGGCCCAGACCCCUACGGGAGGCAGCAGGGGGGAAUUUUGGACAAUGGGCGCAAGCCUGAUCCAGCAAUGCCGCGUGCAGGAAGAAGGCCUUCGGGUUGUAAACUGCUUUUGUACGGAACGAAAAGGCUCUGGAUAAUACCUGGGGCUCAUGACGGUACCGUAAGAAUAAGCACCGGCUAACUACGUGCCAGCCGCCGCAGUAAUAC